UGGGGAAUCUUGCACAAUGGGCGAAAGCCUGAUGCAGCAACGCCGCGUGCGGGAAGACAGCCCUAGGGUUGUAAACCGCUUUCAGCAGGGAAGAAACUGACGGUACCUGCAGAAGAAGAUGCGGCCAACUACGUGCCAGCAGCCGCGGUGACACGUAGGCAUCAAGCGUUAUCCGGAUUUAUUGGGCGUAAAGAGCUCGUAGGCGGUUCGGUAAGUCGGGUGUGAAAACUCUGGGCUCAACCCAGAGAGGCCACUCGAUACUGCUGUGACUAGAGUGCGGUAGGGGAGCGGGGAAUUCCUGGUGUGAGCGGUAGAAUGCGCAGAUAUCAGGAGGAACACCAGUGGCGAAGGCGCCGCUCUGGGCCGUAACUGACGCUGAGGAGCGAAAGCAUGGGUAGCAAACAGGAUUAGAUACCCUGGUAGUCCACGCCGUAAACGAUGUCUGCUAGUCGUUGGGGGCGUAGCCCUUCAGUGACGGCCGCUAACGCAUUAAGCAGACCGCCUGGGAGUACGGCCGCAA
rnacentral:rRNA from 1 species